rnacentral:rRNA from 1 species
GACGAACGCUGGCGGCGUGCCUAAUACAUGCAAGUCGAGCGCAGGAAGCUGACGGAACUCUUCGGAGGGAAGGCAGUGGAAUGAGCGGCGGACGGGUGAGUAACACGUAAGGAACCUGCCUCAAGGAUUGGGAUAACUCCGAGAAAUCGGAGCUAAUACCGGAUAGUUCAACGGACCGCAUGGUCCGCUGAUGAAAGGCGCUCCGGCGUCACCUUGAGAUGGCCUUGCGGUGCAUUAGCUAGUUGGUGGGGUAACGGCCCACCAAGGCGACGAUGCAUAGCCGACCUGAGAGGGGGAUCGGCCACACUGGGACUGAGACACGGCCCAGACUCCUACGGGAGGCAGCAGUAGGGAAUCUUCCACAAUGGACGAAAGUCUGAUGGAGCAACGCCGCGUGAGUGAUGAAGGUUUUCGGAUCGUAAAACUCUGUUGUAAGGGAAGAACACGUACGAGAGGGAAUGCUCGUACCUUGACGGUACCUUACGAGAAAGCCACGGCUAACUACGUGCCAGCCGCCGCCGUAAGAC